rnacentral:tRNA from 1 species
CGGGGUAUAGCUCAGUUGGCUAGAGUGCGCGGUUUGGGACCGUGAGGCCGGCGGUUCGAGUCCGCCUACCCCGACCA